GAAAUAAAUCUAGGCUGAGAGAAAGGAAGGAGGGUUGUAGCUGGCCUUUACCCGCACGUGCACGCCCUCUUUCUGGAUCCUUGGUCUUAUGGGCGCGGGGCGACCCGCGUCUUCAUAAGCCCCCUUCGUGUAGAAAGUCUAUGAAUGUUUUUACGAUCAUCGAGUCGCGACUUCUAGGAGACGCGGUUCUUUGAGACAAAAGUUAUUACAACUUUCAGCAAUGGAUCUCUUGGCUCU
rnacentral:misc_RNA from 1 species